rnacentral:rRNA from 1 species
AACGAACGCUGGCGGCAUGCUUAACACAUGCGAGUCGAACGAGACCUUCGGGUCUAGUGGCGCACGGGUGCGUAACGCGUGGGAAUCUGCCCUUUGCUACGGAAUACCGCAGAGAAAUUUGUGCUAAUACCGUAUAAUGUCCACGGACCAAAGAUUUAUCGGCAAAGGAUGAGCCCGCGUAAGAUUAGCUUGUUGGUGGGGUAAAGGCCUACCAAGGCGACGAUCUUUAGCUGGUCUGAGAGGAUGAUCAGCCACACUGGGACUGAGACACGGCCCAGACUCCUACGGGAGGCAGCAGUGGGGAAUAUUGGACAAUGGGCGAAAGCCUGAUCCAGCAAUGCCGCGUGAGUGAUGAAGGCCUUAGGGUUGUAAAGCUCUUUCACCAGGGAUGAUAAUGACAGUACCUGGAGAAUAAGCUCCGGCUAACUUCGUGCCAGCCGCCGCCGUAA